rnacentral:rRNA from 1 species
UACACACCGCCCGUCACACCAUGGGAGUGGGUUGUACCAGAAGUCGGUAGGCCAACCUUUCGGGGGAGCCGCUGACCACGGUAUGAUUCAUGACUGGGGUG